rnacentral:other from 1 species
GUUCACUGCCGUAUAGGCAGAUCAGAAA